rnacentral:lncRNA from 1 species
CCCCAAAUUCCCUAGGGCCAGAUCACUGGUUAGGAACGCCCACCCCAUGUGUCCUCAGACCUACUGCUGCACGUUUCAGCCCAGAGAGUGCCGCUGAUGACGAAGAAGGUGUUCAUUAGCUCCCAGACCACAAGAUCAGAAAUAAACACUGGUCUCAUGGCUCACACCUGUAAUCCCAGCACUUUGGGAGGCUGAGGCAGUGCCUGGCAUAUAAGAAGCAUUGCGUAAGCAUCAGGACUGGCCUUCCUGCUGUCGUGGGUAGAGCACAGCUCAUCGAGUCUCCAGCUCAACUGUCCUGGGGCUGUGCGGGGUCCUCCCAGCUCCAAGCAGCCUCCAAUCGUACCAGAGUCCAGAAGACACACUGGAGAAGCCAAGGGCAGCUUGGCAAGGGUACCAGCCACUUGAGAGCUGAGUGCAAUACCGGAAGAUU